ensembl:lncRNA
CGUACGAGGAAGUGAGACUAUUGUGAGUGGAGCGGCUCUACGGCGGCGUAAAAGAAAUGUGAGAGUCCGCGAGGAGGAGGACACGCGGAUCACACUCACUGAAUUCAAUUAUCCAAAAGGUGUUCAAACCGCCCCAUUCGUGAGCUGCACAGUUGAGAAAUCUGGGAAAUUACCGUGAGGAAACGUUGAGUCAGCUCAUCUAUAAUUCGGAUAAAGUCACACAGCACAGCGACCAGCAGGUCCGUCGGGUUCUCACAAACACAACGGAUCCCGUGAACCACACCUGACUGAAGCAGCAAGCCGGGGGGGGGGGGGGGGGCAAAGUUCACCUGGCUGGUGUGCAGAAUUCACUCAGAUAGACGGAAAAGCUGCUCGCCGAGACGACAAGAAAAUACACGCUGAACAUUCCCGCGCACAUGAUGUCAGUGUGACGCGACGACGCGUUACAGCAGCAGCUCCAGACAACACGCCCCCCCCCCCCUCCCGUACCCCUCCUGACCCCCCUCCCGGGACAGCGGAUAAGGAAACAGCAGCCCGGAAGGGGAACAGACCUCGACACACCUGCCUGGGACGAUGGAGGAGAACAGAAUGACGACACGAACAACGUCACGCCUUCAUCAAUCAGUGCGUUACACUGUGG